GGAGCCUGCCUCGGCAGGGACACCAGAGAUGCUGUGUGACCCUUUAGACUUUCUCUACUGUCUCCAGAGCCCAGGGCUGGCUCGUGGGGCAAAGAGGAAAAGACACAAGAAGACCCUUUGUUGAAGAGCUUACACAAAACCUAUAGGUACUACCUGCUCAGGUGUGCUACGGCGCAGGUGGGUUCCAUUCGGGCCCCUCUCUUCCCU